CAAUGGCGUAUAUUAAAGUUGUUGCAGUUAAAAAGCUCGUAGUUGGACCUUGGACCUGGACAGGCGGUCCGCCUCACGGCGUGUACUGUCUUGCUGGGUCUUUCCUCUUGGUGAUCUGUUGUUUCGGCAGCAGGGAACCAGGACUUUUACUUUGAAAAAAUUAGAGUGUUCAAAGCAGGCUCGACGCCGGAAUAUAUUAGCAUGGAAUAAUAAAAUAGGACGUGCGGUUCUAUUUUGUUGGUUUUUGGAAUCGCCGUAAUGAUUAAUAGGGACAGUCGGGGGCAUUAGUACUCACAUGCUAGAGGUGAAAUUCUUGGAUUUUGUGAAGACUAACUUCUGCGAAAGCAUUUGCCAAGGAUGUUUUCAUUAA
rnacentral:rRNA from 1 species